GAUGAACGCUGGCGGCGUGCCUAAUACAUGCAAGUCGAGCGAACAGACGAGGAGCUUGCUCCUCUGACGUUAGCGGCGGACGGGUGAGUAACACGUGGAUAACCUACCUAUAAGACUGGGAUAACUUCGGGAAACCGGAGCUAAUACCGGAUAAUAUAUUGAACCGCAUGGUUCAAUAGUGAAAGACGGUUUUGCUGUCACUUAUAGAUGGAUCCGCGCCGCAUUAGCUAGUUGGUAAGGUAACGGCUUACCAAGGCAACGAUGCGUAGCCGACCUGAGAGGGUGAUCGGCCACACUGGAACUGAGACACGGUCCAGACUCCUACGGGAGGCAGCAGUAGGGAAUCGUCCGAAAUGGGCGAAAGCUUGACGGAGCAACGCCGCGUGAGUGAUGAAGGUCUUCGGAUCGUAAAACUCUGUUAUUAGGGAAGAACAAAUGUGUAAGUAACUAUGCACGUCUUGACGGUACCUAAUCAGAAAGCCACGGCUAACUACG
rnacentral:rRNA from 1 species